rnacentral:rRNA from 1 species
AGAGUUUGAUCAUGGCUCAGGAUAAACGCUGGCGGCGUGCCUAACACAUGCAAGUCGAACGUCUCUGGGUGCUUUGGUAGCCAGGGGAGUGGCGGACGGGUGAGGAACACGUGGGUGACUUAUCUUUCAGUGAGGAAUACCGGCGAGAAAUCGCCGACAAGACCGCAUACGGUUCUCUCGUCGGAGAGGGAACGAAAGCUCUUCGUGAGAGGGGCGCUGGAAGCUGGGCCUGCGUCCGAUUAGCUGGCUGGUGGGGUAAAGGCUCACCAGGGCGACGAUCGGUAGCUGGUCUGAGAGGACGAUCAGCCACACUGGGAUUGAGAACGGCCCUGACUCCUACGGGGGGCAGCAGUGAGGAAUUUUCGGCAAUGGGGGCAACCCUGACUGAGCAACGCCGCGUGCAGGAAGACGGCCUUCGGGUUGUAAACUGCUUUUCUGUGGGACGAGCAAGGACGGUACCACAGGAAGAAGCCCCGGCUAACUACGUGCCAGCAGCCGCGGUAAUACGUAGGGGGCAAGCGUUGUCCGGAGUUACUGGGCGUAAAGGGCACGCAGGCGGUUUCAUAAGAGUGGGGUGACAGGUGCCGGCUUACCUGGCACAGGGCCUUGCAGACUGUGAGACUUGAGGGCC